GCCGCAGAGCGCAUGGUGAAGAUUAAUAAGAUACUGCGUGAAGAGGGGCUGCCCCAGGCCUGGCACAGGCUAAAAGCACAGAAAAGAUUCCAGAGAUAUAUUGAUGAACAAAACAGAGCCUAAUGCUCAGAGACCUUGCAUUCUGGUGGAGAGAGACAAACACACCAAGGACCUGACUGAUAGACUGGACACAAGUUAUGAAUGAAAGUGGAGUUAAGGGUGGCUCCUUUGGUUAAGUGAAAUGAAUAUGAUAAACCUCAACCAAAUUGGAGUCAGAAAAAGCCCCUAAAGGGAACUCUCAGGCCUCUACACUUGCAACCUCAACAGGAAGUAGAAUUACCUUACUACUGAAGGAAGAUUUCUCUCUGCACUGGUAACAGCUCAGCCAAUGAGAAACAUCACAGCUCAGCCAAUGAGAAACACCACAGCCCAGCCAAUGAGAAACAUCACAGUCCAGCCAAUGAGGAACGAUGCAGCCCAGCCAAUGAGAAACAUUACAGCUCAGCCAAUGAGGAACACCAUAGUCCAACCAAUGAGAAACAUCACAGCUCAGCCAAUGAGAAACACCACAGCCCAGCCAAUGAGAAACAUCACAGUCCAACCAAUGAGGAACGAUGCAGCCCAGCCAAUGAGAAACAUCACAGCUCAGCCAAUGAGAAGCCAUUGCCGUCCUGAACGUUACUUUCCCCCAAUGGACUUUUGUUUAGAACAGCCCCUCCCUAUUUCCCCUUUUUCUCCAUAACAGGAAGUUCCCCUUCUUUGUUCUCCACGUUUGCCUAUGGUUAACCAUAGCAUGCACAUCCUAAAUUGCAAAUUUUCUGGCUAUUCCUGAGUAAACUCAUUUUGAGGGUAAAAUAACAGGUGUGUUUGCUUUUUAAGUUGACAUAAAUGGUGUCAGAAAGUGGGAUCCAAAGGAGAUGACCCCUGAGAGAUGGUGACCCCCAGAAUGGAGCAAGGUAUCCACAUUGAAUCUUUUGUGCUCAUUGCUUCUGUGAGUGGCUGCCCACUUUGGGUUUGGUAAGUCUCCUCUCAGAUUCUAAGCUCCACUCUUUUUGUGUUCUGAGCUCUCUGACAUUCUUUGGGAUUG
rnacentral:lncRNA from 1 species